rnacentral:rRNA from 1 species
AGGAUGAACGCUAGCGGCAGGCUUAACACAUGCAAGUCGAGGGGUAUGGUUCUUCGGAACCAGAGACCGGCGCACAGGUGCGUAACGCGUAUGCAAUCUACCUUUUUACAGAGGGAUAGCCCAGAGAAAUUUGGAUUAAUACCUCAUAGUAUAAUGACUCGGCAUCGGGAUAUUAUUAAAGUCACAACGGUAAAAGAUGAGCAUGCGUCCCAUUAGCUAGUUGGUAAGGUAACGGCUUACCAAGGCUACGAGUGGGUAGGGGUCCGUGGAGGGGGAGACGUACCCCCCGACACGUGGUACUGACGACGACCGGACCAGACCGUUCCGUACGGGAGGCAGCAGGUGAGGAAUAGUUGGACGAAGUGGGCGACGAAGCC